CCGGAAGGUAAACACCGCGCCCAGCCGCGCCAGGGCCUGCCGCCCGGCCGCUGGGAGGUGCCUGCUCCCCUCGGGGGCGCAUCCGGGUGCCGCUGCUGCCCGAGGCUGGGGUCGCCAAAGCCGACCCCUCUGCAGUGUCCGGGAAGGAGCUGUGCCUCUCCAGGAGAUGCUGAGAGCAGUGCUAGGGCGGCUGUUAAAAUCAGCAUUCAGUGUUGAAUCCGAUGCAUACAGGAGUCCAGUGGGGUUUUUUAAAUGUAAUAGUUUUGUGUAUUUGCCUUCCUGAUGUAAAGUCAUUCAUGUCAUGAUGUCGUGUGAUGAAACCUCCCGAAAUAGAUUCAGAGUUGGCAGCCCUGCCAGGGGCACGGACAGACCGGGUGCCUCGGCCAUGAAUGACUGGUGCCUCCUGAGAUGGGGGCACCGUGGCGGGGACGGGCUGCAGACGUCGGCAUCGGUGUCAGUGUCGGCGGUGGCAAGCGAGGACAGAGGUGGGCGGAUGAGAACGGGAUGGAAUUCAACGCAGACAAGUGCAAGGGGCUGCAUCUAGGAAGAAGGAGCCAGCGACACACCUACAGGCUGGGGAGCACCCUUCUUGUCAACAAAGAGGCAGAAAGAGAUCUUGGAGUCCCCGUUGACUCCAGGAUGAGCAUGAGCCGCCAAUGCGAGGAAGCAGUCAAUGCCGGUGUCCGAGAGCAGGGACCACCCACAGGCAUCAGUGUCGUCAGCAGCAUGCAAGGACCACCUGCAGAUGCCGGUGUUUGUGUCAGCAGCAGCAAGCAAGGACCGCUCGCAGACGUUGGUGUCAGCGGCAAGAAACAGCAAGUGAUGACUGCCCACAGAUGCUGGUGUUGGUGUCAGCAAGCAGGGACCACCUGCAGACACCAGAGGCGGUGUUGGCAGUGAGGGGGAGGGAGGCAGGUAGCGAGGGCGGCUUCAGCAGCGGCCAGUCUUGGGGGCACGUGCCCCCCCACGUCCCCCCUACACAUCGCCUAUGCUCUCAGCUCACACAAGUUGUGGCCAGGUGCCUCGGGUCAGGAAAGAAUGGGAACCACUGUCCUAGAAACAUCAGUUAUGAAUGCUGGCAACUGACCUCCACCUGGGCAUAUGCGGCAAGAAACAACCUUCCCUUCGCUGGUUCUUUGUGUAAGAGUUGUUUCAAAUCUAAGAUCUGCACCUUCAAGAAAAGAAAGAGAAGAAACCCCACCUGUUAGGGCAAAAUGAACAGAAUUUGGGCACAAAAUGAGAAUAAAAAUCUAAACUUCUGUGUCGUGAAAUAGGAACAGUGCACCAAUGUCUCCGAGGGCUGGGAAAGCUAGUUGACAAAAUAAUCAAAAGCAACGUUCUUCAUAUUAAUGAACUCAGCUGAGGGUUACAGCCAUACCUGGAUGCAAGGACGUGUAUUCGGGCAAGGUCCAAUGCAAGACUGAAAAUCAAUACAGCUGUAGUCACAGAAACAUCUAUAGAAGGUAUCUGGGGACAUGGACCAUCACAGUGGAGUCUUGGGCCAUGACUAGGGCUCUUAGGUUAGUACCAGUCAUACAAAUAAUAGUGCUUUAAGCGCUAUGUAAACUUAGGCCAAAGUCUUCAGACUAGUGUAGCUAAAGUCAGGCAACUGACUCCACAAUGAAACACCCAAAUAUAUGGCAUAUAUGUUAGACAUGAUCUAUUAUAUUUGUCAAGUUAUUUAAAAUCUUUAGUUCUGUGUUUCAGUUUUCACAUAUUUUAAAUAUGAGUUAUUCUUGUGUUAUGAAGUCUAAUUCAUUCAUAAUUGCUUAUUCAUUUUUAAAUCCUUGGUUGGAAAUUGUCUUGUAGUACAGAGAGGGUGGUGGUUGUACACCCAUAGCUUUUACUGGCUUCAGUAGGAGCUGAGGUGCUCAUCAUCUAUGACAAUCAGGACACUUCUUAGGUACCUAAACAUGGAUGAAGAUUCAUAUCUUUUUGUGCCAAAAUUUGAAAACUGUUACGCUACUACCUAGUUGACAAUACUUGUAAAUACCUUGUAGUACAAAUAACUUUUUGCAUCCUUGUACUUCAACAAGACUUGGUCUAUAAAUGAAAACACCCACCAUAAGAAAAUGUGUUGGCAAUUCAAGGCUCUGCGGCAUCACAUCCACAUGUAGUGGGGUUCACAGGUGUUGUCUUAAGUAGUUCUCACUGUAUAUUCUCUAAAUGCAUGUAUCAUAAAAGCAUUUCCAAUUUCAAGCAUUCCCCACUGUGCUGUGCCCAAAGUCUUAAAACCUAGAUCUGAAGCAAUUUUUCUCCAAAGAGUCCAUCCAUGACAUAUAUGCUCUCUUUUGUACACUUGUUUUCGUACUACAACCAACAGUUUGAUACAAUAUUUUUUACAUAAAAUAUAUAUAAACUUGUUUAUUGAUA